UGGGGAAUAUUGGGCAAUGGGCGCAAGCCUGAUCCAGCCAUGCCGCGUGAGUGACGAAGGUCUUCGGAUUGUAAAGCUCUUUUAGCAGGGAAGAUAAUGACGGUACCUGCAGAAUAAGCCCCGGCUAACUUCGUGCCAGCAGCCGCGGUAAUACGAAGGGGGCUAGCGUUGUUCGGAAUUACUGGGCGUAAAGCGCACGUAGGCGGAUUGAUAAGUUAGAGGUGAAAUCCCGGGGCUCAACCUCGGAACUGCCUUUGAUACUGUUAGUCUCGAGUCCGAUAGAGGUGAGUGGAAUUCCUAGUGUAGAGGUGAAAUUCGUAGAUAUUAGGAAGAACACCAGUGGCGAAGGCGGCUCACUGGAUCGGUACUGACGCUGAGGUGCGAAAGCGUGGGGAGCAAACAGGAUUAGAUACCCCCGUAGUCCCUGAGCGGGCUGGCAAGGCGCAU
rnacentral:rRNA from 1 species